GUGCCAGCCGCCGCGGUAAUACAGAGGGUGCGAGCGUUGUCCGGAAUUACUGGGCGUAAAGGGCGCGUAGGCGGCUCGAUAAGUAGGACGUGAAAUUCCGUGGCUUAACCACGGAACUGCGUUCUAGACUGUCAGGCUUGAGCACGGUAGAGGCAGAUGGAAUUCCCGGUGUAGCGGUGGAAUGCGUAGAGAUCGGGAAGAACACCAGUGGCGAAGGCGGUCUGCUGGGCCGUUGCUGACGCUGAUGCGCGACAGCGUGGGGAGCAAACAGGAUUAGAUACCCUAGUAGUCC
rnacentral:rRNA from 1 species